AGGGAAUGUGAUACACAAUACCGACAUAUGUUGAGUUUUGUCACUUGAUUUCCCGAUAGCAUGAGCUUUCUGAUGACGACAACGUGUGAAGUAUUAAGUUGCCGACAGAUACGGAGCUUACAUUU